rnacentral:sRNA from 1 species
GCUGGGCGUGGUGACGCACACCUGUAAUCCCAGCAGCUCAGGAAGUUGAGAUGGGAGAAUCACAAGUUCAAAGCCAGCCUCAGUGAAAGCAAGGUGCUAAGCAACUCAGUGAGACACUGUCUCUA